UAUCACCUCUCAAGCCUGGCUUGCUGUUGGACCCGGUCAUGUUUUAGGCAUCACCGGUCUCAAAGAUAAUGAGGCGUCUGUGAGGACCCCAGUACACUGAGCUUUCUAAGCACGUAUUUGGCGGGAGUCCAGACCCGGUCUUACCCAUAUUUUUUAACAAGGUUGACCUCGGAUCAGGUAGGAAUACCCGCUGAACUUAA
rnacentral:misc_RNA from 1 species